rnacentral:antisense_RNA from 1 species
GUUUAUGGGCGGUGCAGUUGGGAGGGAGAAAUCCCUGCCGGUCCCUUAUCCCGGUCUGCUAACCCGUCUGUCACCGCCCACCCUC